ACUUGGGAGGUUGUGCCCUUGAGGCGUGGCUUCCGGAGCUAACGCGUUAAGUCGACCGCCUGGGGAGUACGGCCGCAAGGUUAAAACUCAAAUGAAUUGACGGGGGCCCGCACAAGCGGUGGAGCAUGUGGUUUAAUUCGAUGCAACGCGAAGAACCUUACCUACUCUUGACAUCCAGAGAACUUUCCAGAGAUGGAUUGGUGCCUUCGGGAACUCUGAGACAGGUGCUGCAUGGCUGUCGUCAGCUCGUGUUGUGAAAUGUUGGGUUAAGUCCCGCAACGAGCGCAACCCUUAUCCUUUGUUGCCAGCGGUUAGGCCGGGAACUCAAAGGAGACUGCCAGUGAUAAACUGGAGGAAGGUGGGGAUGACGUCAAGUCAUCAUGGCCCUUACGAGUAGGGCUACACACGUGCUACAAUGGCGCAUACAAAGAGAAGCGACCUCGCGAGAGCAAGCGGACCUCAUAAAGUGCGUCGUAGUCCGGAUUGGAGUCUGCAACUCGACUCCAUGAAGUCGGAAUCGCUAGUAAUCGUGGAUCAGAAUGCCACGGUGAAUACGUUCCCGGGCCUUGUACACACCGCCCGUCACACCAUGGGAGUGGGUUGCAAAAGAAGUAGGUAGCUUAACCUUCGGGAGGGCGCUUACCACUUUGUGAUUAAAGACUGGGAGUGAAGUCGUAACAAGGU
rnacentral:rRNA from 1 species